rnacentral:rRNA from 1 species
AGCGAACGCUGGCGGCAGGCUUAACACAUGCAAGUCGAGCGGGCCCUUCGGGGUCAGCGGCGGACGGGUGAGUAACGCGUGGGAACGUGCCCUCUGGUCUGGAAUAACCCUGGGAAACUAGGGCUAAUACCGGAUACGCCCUUCUGGGGAAAGGCUUGCUGCCGGAGGAUCGGCCCGCGUCUGAUUAGCUAGUUGGUGGGGUAACGGCCUACCAAGGCGACGAUCAGUAGCUGGUCUGAGAGGAUGAUCAGCCACACUGGGACUGAGACACGGCCCAGACUCCUACGGGCGGCAGCAGUGGGGAAUAUUGGACAAUGGGCGCAAGCCUGAUCCAGACAUGCCGCGUGAGUGAUGAAGGCCUUAGGGUUGUAAAGCUCUUUUAUCCGGGACGAUAAUGACGGUACCGGAGGAAUAAGCCCCGGCUAACUUCGUGCCAGCCGCCGCAGUAA